AGUCGUAACAAGGUCUCCGUUGGUGAACCAGCGGAGGGAUCAUUACAGAGUUGCAAAACUCCCUAAACCAUUGUGAACGUUACCUAUACCGUUGCUUCGGCGGGCGGCCCCGGGGUUUACCCCCCGGGCGCCCCUGGGCCCCACCGCGGGCGCCCGCCGGAGGUCACCAAACUCUUGAUAAUUUAUGGCCUCUCUGAGUCUUCUGUACUGAAUAAGUCAAAACUUUCAACAACGGAUCUCUUGGUUCUGGCAUCGAUGAAGAACGCAGCGAAAUGCGAUAAGUAAUGUGAAUUGCAGAAUUCAGUGAAUCAUCGAAUCUUUGAACGCACAUUGCGCCCGCCAGCAUUCUGGCGGGCAUGCCUGUUCGAGCGUCAUUUCAACCAUCAAGCCCCCGGGCUUGUGUUGGGGACCUGCGGCUGCCGCAGGCCCUGAAAAGCAGUGGCGGGCUCGCUGUCGCACCGAGCGUAGUAGCAUACAUCUCGCUCUGGUCGCGCCGCGGGUUCCGGCCGUUAAACCACCUUUUAACCCAAGGUUGACCUCGGAUCAGGUAGGA
rnacentral:misc_RNA from 1 species